rnacentral:lncRNA from 1 species
CUGUUCUUAAAAGUCACUAUAGCCCUAUUUUGGGCCAUAUCAUGAUGGAGGAAUUUUACCUUGAUGAUAUUUUCUGCUGUCACAAGGCCCCUGGUAACUAUUCCGAUUUUUUCGGGAAUAUUUACUUUUCUUUGAGCAUAUGAUGGAUGACCUCUGUUUGUGGGAAGUAUUGUAAAGGCAAGUUUAUGUUUGUUUAGCAUUAGCUUCCAACAAGUCUGUGUUGUUUUAUCUUGAUCCUUUUUUGUUAUAUUAGGGUACACAGGAUUUAUUUGCGAUGUCAAGCAAAGGGUUGGUUGCUUGGGUGGUAAAAUUUCCUUUGGUUUUCCUAUUUCCCCACUAGAGGGCGGUGUGUGAUCUGCUGGGGCGUGGGGCUUUUCCUCAGAGUGCUUUAUUGGCAUGCAUGAGUUUAUGAUUUUCUUUUGGGUUGUGGAAGCAGAAUUCUUUGUUGUUAUAUUCUCCAGCACCUUAAAUAGCUUCUGGAGAUUCAUUUUUUUAGUCCGGCAGGUCGGCGCUCCUCUUUGGCCUCUCAAUUUGAUGUUUUUGGUCUUCUUCAUUUUUUGUGUUGAGCCUUUUCUCUUUAAGGUUGGUUUCUUGGGAGCAAGGGGCCCUCCCUCUUGCACUGAAUUGUUUCUGUUUGUUUUUUUGUGAUCGAGUCUCGGCUUAGUUUCACCUCCAUUGGCCCUAGUCCCAGAUGUCAUGUGAGGGAAAGCGGCCUCAUGGUUCUUAAUCAAUUCAGUUAGGGUGGUAAGCAGGUUCAAGCUUUCCAAAAGGAAAUUUUUAAUUGGCUCAAGUUCUUUGCUUAUCUGUGUGAAAUGAGUUUUGAGUAACUCUUCAAACAUCCCUGACAGGUAGAAGAUAAAGUUGUCCAGGUGCUGUAAACUUAAUCUGUUUGGCCAUUUGUCUGUCUCAAUCGGCUCAGUCGGGGAAGGGCACCUUAAAUUCUCUCCUGAUAGGGAGGAGAGAAGAGGCUUGUUUAACAUGGCUUCUGGGUUUUCCAGGAAUAGCUCCUGUUCUAAACUUUCUUCACGUCCCUCUUUGGCUAGCUCAGCUUGUUUUAGUUCUGUUGCCAGGUCCACUCCCUCACCUCCAACGUUAGUUUUUUCCUCCCUUCUAAUCCAGGUGUGGUCAAUAGACCACUCGUGAGGAUGGAGAUUUCCUGGAUUGUUUGCUUCAUCAGCCUUGGGAUGGAAGUAGGUUGAAAUUUUGGCCUGUUUUUUCUUUGGGGGAGUUGUUGCAGGUUGUAAAGGUGAAAUCCCCAGUUCUUUGCAACAUUGUCUUGUAAGUACCAUCUAUCGUACUCGGAGAUAAAUAGGGCUAUUUUAUCCAGCCCACAGCUUUAUGAGCUUUUCAAUGGAGGUGGUUCAAAGUUGAUUUAAGUAGCUUUGAAAGGGGAGGGGAGGUUUAAAAGUUCACCCGGCAGCUCCCAGGGUCUUUUACUGAUAAAAGUUGGCAGAUAUUUUCAUAGUUUGAGCCUUUCAUCAGGGUAAUUUGAUCAUUAGAGCUCCUACUCACGCAGCAGAGACUCAAGUUGAGACUUGACCCGGCGCCAUCUU